rnacentral:rRNA from 1 species
ACCAGUCGUACUAAUAAGACCCGAAGCCAGUGCGAGCUAGCCAUGAGCAGGGUGAACUCCGAGUAAAAUUGGAGGAAGGCCCGAACUCAUUGGUCGUGCAAUUCCAUGAGAUGACUUGUGGCUAGAAGUGAAAAGCUAACCGAGCCUGGUGAUAGCUGGUUCUUCCCGAAAUCGNNNNNNNNNNNNNNNNNNNNNNNNNNNNNNNNNNNNNNNNNNNNNNNNNNNNNNNNNNNNNNNNNNNNNNNNNNNNNNNNNNGAGAGGGGAACAGCCCAGACCGUCAUCUAAGGCCCCUAAAUGUAUGCUCAGUGUUAUGCAAGGAAGUGGAAACUCAUAGACAGCUGGGAGGUUGGCUUAGAAGCAGCCAUCCUUCAAAGAGUGCGUAACAGCUCACCAGUCGAGAGUUUCUGCGCCGAAGAUUAACGGGGCUUAAGCAUACUGCCGAAGAUACGGAUUCGCUCGUACCUCAUUACAUUCGGUACUCACUAAAUUUAAAACGCAAAGCGAAAAAUGCAAAAGAACGAACGAUCGUUGUUUUGCGUUUUGCACUUUAAGUUUUACGUUUGAGCGAGACCGAAUGUAAUGAGGUACGAGCGGGUUGUAGGGAAGCGCUUGUUGUGCGGCGAAGGCGCGUGGUGACGCGCGCUGGAGCGCAACAGGGUGAGAAUGUGAGGAUUAGUAACCACAAUCAUGGUGAGAGCCCAUGACGCCGUAGAACCUAAGGUUUCCGCAGCAAUGACAAUCAUCUGCGGGUUAGGCGGCCCUAAGGCAAACCCGAGAGGGGUAGCCGAUGGACAGCCGGUUAAUAUUCCGGCCCUUCUUUUGGUUAUGCUAAGGAGUGACGGAGCAUCGCAACGUGCACGUGUUAUUGGAUUCACGUCAAGGCGCCGUAGGCGGCGGUUUCAGGCAAAUCCGAGACCGCUAAACGCUGAAGCGCACUGGGAACCUGCCCUUGUGGCGGGGAACGCACGCAAAGAAGCUUCCUAGAAAAACUCCUAUGUUAUCCAAAAGGAUCCGUACCGUAAAACCGACACAGGUAGGUUGGUCGAGAAGACCAAGGCGAACGGGUGAAAGCUCGACAAGGAACUAAGCAAAACAGCGCCCGUAAGUUAGCAAUAAGGGCUGCCGCGCGCGCUUUUAAAGACGCCCCAAAUGCAUUUUUGGGACACGCUUAAGAGAGGUCGCUGCGGUCGCAGCUAAAGAUUUUUGGCGACUGUUUAUCUAAAACACAGGUCCCUGCAAACUCGUAAGAGGAAGUAUAGGGGCUGAUGCCUGACCAGUACGAGAAGGUGAAAGCUGACAGUGUACCGUGCCUCGUUGCACUCGGCCCGGAAAUUCCAAAAUCCAAAUAACAAAUUCCAAAUAAAUUCCAAAAUCCAAAGCUCAAAUACCAAACGAUGUUUGGAUAUUGAAAUUUAGGAUUUGGGUAUUGUUUGGAGUUUGGUACUUGGUGUUUGGGAUUUUCCGCGCGGAGCGUAGCGAGGCGCGGUAUGCCGAUUGGCCCAAGCCCUCGUGAACGUCGGCGAUAACUAUAAACGAUUGUAGUUAUAAAAUUUGGCUAUAUGCGGGAAACUCCGAGUAUCCGGUGGUACCCAGUGCGGUAAGAAUCCAUCCGGUGCGGACAAUCCGCAGGAAACCCGUGAGGGGAUCCUCAACGACCAUACGCCAAAAUCCGACUAAUAUUGGAUAUGAUAUGGUCUGGUCCCUAUGGCGACAUAGGGAGGUUGGCAGAAAUGACCAAUCCCUCGCUCUAUUGCGAGAGUAACAAAAGCAAAUCGUCCUAAGGUAUGCGUUUGCAUAAGGGAUGCGUGCUGCCUUAGUAAAAUCUGGCUAUAUGCUGGAACAACCGAGUAUCUAACGCUACUCUAUUGAGUAAGAAUGCGUUUAGUGCGGCACGAAAAAUCGCUCAAGGCGAUCUCGUGCCAACGGUCAAUCAGCAGGAAAGACUCGCCGUGAAAGCGGCGCGCGGAAGUUAGCGGACAGCUAACGCGGAAAUUCGUAGACAAAUAAUAUUUCUGCGUAAUUCUGCGUCAAGUCCGCGUCGUUCAGCGGUAUCAAGCGCAAGCGAGAUACAGAAUCCCCAGAGACUACACGCCAGAGUCCUGGAGCGUUAUUGAGACGAACGCCCUUGAGACAAGAUAUAGUCCGAACUGCAUGGCGACAUGCAGAGUGUGGCAGAAAUGACCACACCUUAAAGUAACAAAUAGAGCGAAAUCCCUUGGCUGGUAAGUUCAGUCCUGCACGAAAGGCACAACGACCGAAAAACUGUCUCGUCGAGCUGCCCGGUGAACUUGCAAUACCGGUAAAGAUGCCGAUUACUCGCGGCUAGACGGAAAGACCCCAGGAGCUUCACUGUUACCUUGUAUUGGGCCAAAUGUCCUACUGCGUAGCAUAGUGGGGAGACUUUGAAGGUUCGCUUUCGGGCGAGCCGGAGUCGCCAGUGAAAUACCCAUCUGUAGUAUGUUUAGUUCUAACCUGCCGAGGUUGAUGAGACCUUGGAGGGACCGUGCAUGGAAGACAGUUUGAAUGGGGCGUUUUCCUUACGUGGACCCCUUUCUUUUUGAAGAAAGGUGUCCAACCGCCAAAGAAAUAGAGGAGUUGCUUGAUCGGCCAAGCCGGCCUUCGCAACGACUUUAAAUAUUUGGUGGGUACGUGGGGUACUCUGUAACCCAAAUGAAACUACAGAGUAAAACUUGGCUAUAUGCGGGAACCGCCGCAAUGUAUCCGAAACUCGGCUAUUCCGAUGGCAACAUCGGAACGACCCCGAAAAAUGUUUCGGUGACGCGGUCAAUCCGCAGGGAAGUCCUUUUUAUUAAAAGAGGACCCCUCAACGACUACACGCCGGGGUAGGUGAAAUUUCAUCUACAAGAUAUAGUCUGAUCUGCAUGGCGACAUGCAGACUGGGUAAUUCCGACCAUCGUCACGCCCGGUCGGCUAACCCCAGAGUCCCGAUGCGUAUCGGGACGUUAACAGCUUGCCUAAAAAGUAACGGAGGAGUCCAAAGGUUGACUAGCAUCGAAUGGAAACCGAUGCGAUAGUGUAAAGGCACAAGUCAGCUUGACUGCAAGGCCGAUGAGCCGCGCAGCUGCGAAAGCAGGGCUUAGUGAACCGAAGCGCUUUUAUAGAAAACGCUGAGAUCAUCAGAUAAAAGUUACCCUGGGGAUAACAGGCUCGUAGCGUCUGAGAGUCCACAUCGACGACGCUGUUCGGCACCUUAACACAUUGGGGUGCGAUAGCAGAAAUGCUGUCGGUCUUAAUAAGAGUAUUGUUUAAAUCUUUCUAGCCCAAAAUAUAUUAAAAUAUAUUGGUAAGGACAAAAAUAAGGCCAAAAGUUCGGCUUAUAACGGUGGAACCGUCAUUGCUUUUGAACCAAGCAACCGGCAAUACCGUGGGAAGCCACCGAUGCAUAGCAUCGGAAAUUCGAAACUCUAAUCUCUAAACUCUAAAGAAUCUCAAAACCCCAAAACUCAAACUUUGAAUUUUGGAUUUGGAAUUUAUUUAGGAUUUAGAUUUUAGAAUUUAGGAUUUUCCGCUGCUGUGCAGCGGUGUCCCCGUAGAGACUGAUGUAUCAGGUCCCCGAUAUUCGGGAANNNNNNNNNNNNNNNNNNNNNNNNNNNNNNNNNNNNNNNNNNNNNNNNNNNNNNNNNNNNNNNNNNNNNNNNNCAAAUAAAUUUCAAAUUUCAAAUUUCAAAUUCCCAACAUAGUUUGGUCAUUUGGAUUUAGAAUUUAGAUAUUGUUUGGAAUUUGGGAUUUGGUGCUUGGGAUUUUCAUUGCUUAAGCAGUGGCUGGGUGAAGAUAUAGUCCGAUCCUUGCAGAAAUGCGAGAAAAUUGCCGACCGCGAUGUCGGCCCAUCCCAUCCUGGGGGUGAAGCAAACAAUGAAACUGCUUUCCCUUGCGGAAACACAAGGGUAAUAAACGAGUCCAAAACGGGGAAGGCCUUUUGCAUCAUGUAGCUGGAGAUUUGCAAUCAUUGCAGGUCCCAGGUACAAUGAUGACAUGAAGGUUAAUCCCGUGGGAAAGAUACUUUGUAAAGUGGAACGAGCUUACUUGGCUGGCUUGAUAGAUGGCGACGGCGCCAUUAUGGCGUGCCUGGAGCGUCAUCAGGAGAAGAAGUUUGGUUUUCGGGUGCGUCUGAAUGUCAAAUUGACAUUUUCGCGCCGAUCAGAUGCUGAUGGCAUACACAAACUCUUAGGCGUUGGGUAUGUGAGGCAAAAUAAGAGGUCGUAUGACUGGGAAACAAAAGAUCAGAUGAUCAUUGUUGCGGUCAUUAUGGCCCUGAUGCCAUACUUUCGCCUUAAAAAAAAGCAAGCCAAUAUAGCUUUGCAAAUUGCUAAGAUUAGCGUCCGGUCGAGUUAUGACCUAAAACGCGCCGCUAAAUUAGCAGACCAACUGGCGUCGUUUAAUUUGCGCUCUAGUAGUAGACGCAGAAACUACGCGUCAUUGAUUUAGAAUUAUCUCCCGUAACGACUGAUUCAAGGUUAUUGUAACCGCGAUGAGAUAGAGGGUACCUGAUAUUCAGGAAUUUAAACUUCUAUCACACGGCUCGCACCUAAACUGGCUUUUUUGGUCAGCAUGGUGAAGGUAUAGUCUACCCUAACAGUAAUGUUAGAUCGGUGAGCUCCCAAGGGUUUGGCUGUUCGCCAAUUAAAGGGGUACGUGAGUUGGGUUCAAACCGUCGCGAGACAGGUUGGUCCUUAUCUACCGCG